GAUGAACGCUGGCGGCGUGCCUAACACAUGCAAGUCGAACGAAGCACUUUAAAUAGAUUUCUUCGGAAUGAAGUUUUUUGUGACUUAGUGGCGGACGGGUGAGUAACGCGUGGGUAACCUGCCCAGUACUGGGGGACAACAGUUGGAAACGACUGCUAAUACCGCAUAAGCCUACGGUGUCGCAUGACACAGUAGGAAAAAUUCCGGUGGUACUGGAUGUGCCCGCGUCUGAUUAGCUAGUUGGUAAGGUAAUGGCUUACCAAGGCGACGAUCAGUAGCCGGGUGGAGAAAGAGAACGGCCACAUUUGGGCUGAGACACGGGCCGAAUUCCUACGGGAGGCAGCAGUGGGGAAUAUUGCACAAUGGGGGAAACCCUGAUGCAACAACGCAGCGUGAGUGAAGAAGUAUUUCGGUAUGUAAAGCUCUAUCAGCAGGGAAGAUAAUGACGGUACCUGACUAAGAAGCACCGGCUAAAUACGUGCCAGCCGCCGCCGUAA
rnacentral:rRNA from 1 species